ACGGAAGGCAGCAGUGGGGAAUAUUGCACAAUGGGGGAAACCCUGAUGCAGCGACGCCGCGUGAAGGAAGAAGUAUCUCGGUAUGUAAACUUCUAUCAGCAGGGAAGAUAAUGACGGUACCUGACUAAGAAGCACCGGCUAAAUACGUGCCAGCAGCCGCGGUAAUACGUAUGGUGCAAGCGUUAUCCGGAUUUACUGGGUGUAAAGGGAGCGUAGACGGCAUGGCAAGCCAGAUGUGAAAGGCAGGGGCUCAACUCCUGGACUGCAUUUGGAACUGCCAAGCUAGAGUAUCGGAGAGGUAAGUGGAAUUCCUAGUGUAGCGGUGAAAUGCGUAGAUAUUAGGAGGAACACCAGUGGCGAAGGCGGCUUGCUGGACGAUAACUGACGUUAAGGCUCGAAAGCGUGGGGAGCAAACAGGAUUAGAUACCCUGGUA
rnacentral:rRNA from 1 species